GCACUGGCGCACAACCGGCCGCCUGCGGCAGGGGCCCCUGGAAGGGCCGUCGCCGUGUUGACCGAGUCCUUUUCGCCACAGUCGGCGGCGUCCUUGUCGAGCCAGAAAAGGCGCCACCGGGCGUAGGUCGACACGAUGGCCAGCGGCUCUGCGACGCCAUGGUAGGCCGCGAGCAUGCGCAGCACAUCCGCCACAUCGACACACACGUCGGGGUCGUCGAGGACGUCGCCGCGCCAGUGUUCCUCACACACGAGGACGGCGCCCAAGAACGCAACGUCCUCGGAUGGAUCAACGUCGGCACGGUAGGUAAAGAGCACGUCGCUUCGUCCGCGAAAGAGGUCACGCCCUUGCGUCCAAUACUGGACCUCGCCGCACAGUCCCGCGUCGGCCGUGAUGUCGCGAAGGCCGUACAACACCAAGUCCCGCGUUGACUCGUGCAACUGGGAGGUGCGGCCGUAGCCGGCAAACAUCCAUGUGCAGGACGUAUGCCGUUGGCACAGGCGCACGCCAUCGUCGACGGCAAAGGGACGCUCGGCGACCGUCGGAGCGGCCUGUGCUUGUCCGUUUGACUUUGCAGGGCGAAAGCGGCGGUGCCGCGCCAUCUCGGGCAGGCCGAUCAGUCCCACGCUCGUGCUGCCAAUGGCCUUGGCUAGCGGCCGUGUUGCGCACGCGCACACACGAAACCGAAAGAAAAGAAAGACACCGUCAGCCCGUGGCCGCACAGCGCCACCGCUAUGAAAGAAAAGAAAAAACCAUUAAAAAAAGAGAAAAGAAUGGAAAAAAUAGAAAACGCAAGCAGCGGGCAUCGAUGCCGGCGCGCAGAGCGCCACGGCCAUGACACCCACAAACUCCAC
rnacentral:lncRNA from 1 species